rnacentral:lncRNA from 1 species
UGCAUAUCGAUAAAUACUUGAAUUGGAUUGGUCAAUUAGAAUUUUUCUUUAAGUUUACACUUCGAUAAACCAUGUUUCCGAAACUACUUUCGUAAUCUAUUCAUGCGCGAUUCACAAGCUUACAGGGAUCCCGGGAUUUUCGGCAAAUAGAGAUUAAAAAACAAAUGCAUAACAGUUGUGUCUAUUUUCGUGAAUAUAUGACAAAAAAUGAAAUGAAUACACUAAAGCUACGAAAAUGUAUAAACUCAAAAUUCAAAUAAAAUUCCGCGAACUUUCAUGAAUGAUUUGGCGAAUUUACGUCGUGGCUAAACACGACGUCAUACGAAUGAAAACUUUCAUUGGAAAGACUAUUUCGUUACGUGUACGCUUCAAAUUCGAAUGGUAUAUCUCAUUAAUUUGAAGUUUUGGAGGUAGGUGCUAUUCUAUUCAAGAUUCCGUUGCAAUUUUCGAACAUUUAUGGAUUUUAGAAAGUCAAUAUGGCGGCCAACUCCUUAGUUACGACAUGUCAAUUGUGGCAUUUGAUGGUUAUUAUAAUAGCAUUUACAAAACAAAAAUUUAAUGUUCUUAAAAUCGCUAUUUGUUGGCUUAAGAAUUAUAAGGAUUAAACACAUUUUUUCUAGAGGUUAUUGAUGUGUAAACCGGGGCUCUUACUCACAAACUUAACAUAA